rnacentral:rRNA from 1 species
AUGGCGCCGCCGGCCCUCAUUCUCGCCAGAUCCGGCCGCCUCCACGCCAAAUCCACCGAAAAUGGAUCCGUCCCGGCCAGAUCUGCCCGGAUCCGACCGGGCCCCGCCGUCGUCGCCACCAGAGCGCCACCCCGCUCAACCUGCAGCGCCACCUUCCACUGGCAGGCCUUGGAGAACCUCAUCUCUCUGAUUUCCUCUCAAUUUUUGCAGGAUGGGCAAGAACCAGAUACAGUAAUUACAUCUAAAGGGAUGGAUUUAGAGGAAGAUGCAGCAAGAAUUGAUCGAGUAAAAAAGCAACUUCGGCAUGCCAAUGGGACCUUUUCAGUGCUGUCAGGGGUGGCUGAGACCAUCAAGAACUUUGUCCUGAUCUACCAUGUUGACAUCACCAAGGUUCCUGACUUCAACACCAUGUACGAGCUGUACGACCCGUGA